GCGAAAGUGGCGGAAUUGGCAGACGCGCUAGGCUCAGGACCUAGUGGCUGAUAAAGCCAUAGGGGUUCAAAUCCCCUCUUUCGCACCA
rnacentral:tRNA from 1 species